CUUCUCUGUUUGGAAGAGGGAGAGAGAAGAAUUUGUCUGCUGGCUCUCAUCUGUUUGGCCCAUGGAGCAAUAUUUCCUCCACCUCAGAGGUUGUGUCUCUAUUAGGUUUGGGAGUAGGGGAAGGGGAUCAGAUCUGAUUUCCUAACUGACCAGGAGGGACUCCUUUGGGAAAGACACUGUCAAGGCAGAGGAGAACCACUGUGGUAUCUGGGAAAGAUGCACCACUCCCUUCACCCCCUCUCCCCAGCUCUUCCCACUGCUCCAGCACAGCUGACCUUCACACUGACAUACAAACGCUGCCUCUUCUCCCACGACCCAUCCCCGUGGGACUGCUUUAGGAAGGGAAGAAGAGACCUGGACAGACAGAAGGAAGGACGCCACGAGAUGACAGAAGCAGAGACUGAGCUACUGCAGCCACAAGCCAAGGAGCGCCUAGGGGUGCCAGCCAACCUCCAGACGCUAGAAGAGGCAAGGAAGGAUUCUCCCAAGAGGAGAGACACCUUGAGUUCAGACUUGUAGCCUCCAGAACUGUGAGACAAUACAAUUCUAUUGUUUUAAGCCAAUAAAUUUGUGGUAAUUUGUGACAGCAGCCCUAAGAAAUUAAGACGGUAUUCCUAGAAACUAUCCAUCGUAUGUGGCUCUAAGACCAAACAGCCAUCAUUUGGUAGGUGUCACCUGGGCAGAUACUGCAAACUCCUUAUCUUUUUAAACAACCUGUCGGUUUUGACCCUGUGAAAAUACAAUUAGGUGUCAGAGCUGUCAGAAAACUGAUUGAUUUAGGUGUUACUUCUGUUUGCCAGCUGGAAGGAUCGAUCACCCAGAUUGAAGCUCAGGGACAGAAGGAAUUGCGGGCGUAGAUCAUCAGCCACUCUGAAAAAGCACAGCCACGAGCAUCCUUUGCUGCUGCUACAGCUGAUUGCAGCUGGCAGUCUCAGUCUUACUUCCCACCCAGGACUUUGUCUAAAGAUAUGCUGACUCUCUUCCCUUGUUUCCAACUGCCUCCAGAGCACCUGUGGUUUUCCAGGCUUGUCCCUGCCCGAGUCUUGUCACCUCAUUGCCAUACUCUCUGGGUCUCUCCUCCCAGCACACUUCAAGAGAUGGGAGCCAGCUAAAAGAAAAGGUCAGGCACAGCCAGAAUGGACUGUUACCCAGGGGUACUUGUUUGUACAUUGGGCUAAUGGCUUCUGAUUGUCCAAAAGUUUUGAAACGUAUUUCUACCCAUUCUUCAAGGCUCAGUUCAGAUGCCAACUCGUUGCAGAUUCUCCAGAUUCCCACAACACAGAACUAAUCUCCCUCAUCUGUAGCCCGAAGCAUUCUUCAGGAAGAAGGCCCUUCCUCCAAGCACACACCCCCUGGAGGUCAUGUUUUGGUUAUCUAUGCACCCAUCUUAUCAUCCCAAUGGACUGAGCAAUGUGAGGCUGAGAGGAGACUCAGGUCUAGCAAGCCCAAGGUCAGUGCAUGUUCAGGGUGUGAUGCUGACUUGAAUGCACAUGUUCCAAAAUGUCAGGUUCAGAGGCACUCUUCAGCCAAACAGUUGGUUCAGUACUUCCCUGAGCGGAAGGGAAGGCAGGCGUCACAACCAUGAGAACUGGAGAGAUUUUUCAUGACGGUGCCUGAGUCAAACCACUCCACACCUACACUAAUGCCAUCCUUUGCCUGCUCCCCAGCCAUACCUUUCAUUUGGUUUCUAAGUUGUUCUGUUUUCGCCCUGGGUAGAUUUCUGUGUUUCUAAGCACCCAUUUUGCCUCUUGCAGCUUCCUUCUCCUUCCUUUCCCCUAGCCCUGGUCCACGAACCCUGGAAUGAACUCACCCCAAAAAAGGGCUGUGGCCUCUGGAAAUGCAGACUCGGUGACUUUCAAAGAGGAACCGAGGGCAGCAGAAACUUGACUGGACAGAGGCCCAUUAAUGAAGUUCACUGCUCUUUCAAUAUCUCAGAAGAGUUACUACUCACAGGUUACUCUAGAAACAUUUUCAGUUCAUAUUAUCCCAUUUCAACUGCUAAAUAUUGCUUGUCUAUAUAAAUAGCUUCUGUAGCUGAUUUCACUAGUCUCCGGGUUCUGUAAAGGUGUCAGAUCAACAGUGAUAGUGGAAUGUGCGCUGAAAUCCAGAAUGCUGCCCCUCCCAGGACCCAGUCCCCCUCUCAAACCUGACCCCCUCAGUCCCUCUCUCCUCACCCAGACCCUGCACUCUCAAUAGCUUCUCUCUGGGGAAGGUUUUCUUAAAGCUGCAGGUUGAGCUGCUAGUUCCUAACGCACAGGUAGACAGCAGGCAGCACCUAAUUUUUUCCUGGGCAAUUCACUUAGAGCAAAGAGAAUAUCAACAUGCGACUGCUUUGCUAAAGUGCUUUCUGCCUUUCACAGCCUUGAGCUAG